GACGAACGCUGGCGGCGUGCUUAACACAUGCAAGUCGAACGGAAAGGCCCUGCUUUUGUGGGGUGCUCGAGUGGCAAACGGGUGAGUAACACGUGAGUAACCUGCCCUUGACUUUGGGAUAACUUCAGGAAACUGGGGCUAAUACCGGAUAGGAGCUCCUGCUGCAUGGUGGGGGUUGGAAAGUUUCGGCGGUUGGGGAUGGACUCGCGGCUUAUCAGCUUGUUGGUGGGGUAGUGGCUUACCAAGGCUUUGACGGGUAGCCGGCCUGAGAGGGUGACCGGCCACAUUGGCACUGAGAUACGGCCCAGACUCCUACGGGAGGCAGCAGUGGGGAAUAUUGCACAAUGGGCGGAAGCCUGAUGCAGCAACGCCGCGUGCGGGAUGACGGCCUUCGGGUUGUAAACCGCUUUCGCCUGUGACGAAGCGUGAGUGACGGUAAUGGGUAAAGAAGCACCGGCUAACUACGUG
rnacentral:rRNA from 1 species